UUUUAUUUCAGAUAUAAAGAGACACAUGUAACACUGUCUCCUACAAACAUUAUGAAGAUAAUGUCUGUUUUUGUUUUCACUGCAGCUGCAUGAACACAACUCGCCUGUAUGCAGCAUGUCUGCUUCACAAACAAUAACCAGAGUGUGACGUGUAGUCUGAUGUUGUGCAGCCACUCGUGUUAUUUACUCGUGCUGACAGAGAAGCACAAAAGCAAUUAAAGCUUUCUACAUUAAUGUUAAUUUGCAGACAGUUACAGGAAGACACAGUUUGUUUGCCUCAAGCUGUGAUUUUAUUAAUUUAAUCAGUAAUCAUAUUAACAUAGUCAAUAGAUUUAUAUAAGAUUUUGUUGUGAAGAAAGAGCUCUUUCCCUCCAAGGAGGUCGGAGAGUCAGUGAAGGCAUCAUGCAGGUUUUUAUAACCACAAGUCUGAAACCCAGACACAGAAAAAAGGGAAGAACAGAAAGAAGAAGAGGAGGGUUUUACUUGGCGUGAACUGAUGUCAGUGUUGGUCUGAUAUCAUUGAGCAGUAGGAUGGAGGAAACGUCUCUGCUGUGUCUGCUCUUUCUGAUCUCACUGCUGAGCUGCAUCACAAACCAAGCUCGUCUGACUGUGAGUCCCAGCAGCUCUCAGUUUUUUAAAUAUGACUUUGUGUCUCUGAGCUGUGAGGAGGACGACAGCUCUGCUGGAUGGACUCUGUGGAGAAACCCAAAGACACAACAGAGGACUCAGUGUGGAGAUGGGUGGGGAAGAUCAGCUGGUUCUUCCUGUAACAUCAGCUACAUCGACCCACUGGACAGUGGGGUUUACUGGUGUGAGUCCAGAGAGGGUCCCAUCAGUAACAUGGUUAACCUGACAGUCACUGGUGGAUCAGUGAUCCUGCAGAGUCCUGUCCUCCCUGUGAUGGAGGGAGAUGACGUCACUCUGCUCUGUAAAACAAAGACCACUCCCUCCAACCUCCCAGCUGCUUUCUAUAAAGAUGGCUCCCUCAUCAGGAAGCAGCCUACAGGUCACAUGACCCUCCAGCAUGUUUCCAGGUCUGAUGAAGGCCUCUACAAGUGUGACAUCAGCGGUCAUGGAGAGUCUCCAUCCAGCUGGAUCACUGUCACAGAAAAACCUACAACCACACCACCACCCACUCCAUCAACUCCACGUCCUGACUUGUUAUCACUCAGGCUUGUAUUUAUCCACCUGGUGAUGUUCUGUCCAUACUUUAUCUCCACUCUCCUCGUGGUGUCUUUAUGUCGACAGAGAACCAAAGGAAAAAACAUUUGUGUGUCAAUCCAGCCCACUCAUCCUGAUCAGGGACUGGAUGAGCAUUAUGAUGUAAUCACUGAUGUCACCACAGAGUAUCACUUCUGAAUCAGAGCUCUGUUGUGUCUCUGUGAGUCUCACCAUCUUUUUCCUCUCCAUCUCUGAUGUGGAGAUUAUUUGAAUAAAUGGACUCUGAUGAUCAUCUCUCAACAAUUUUUCUGUAAAUAACCAGCAAAUAUUCCUGCUCAGAGUAGAAGAUCCAUCAUGUACUGUAUGUGCACCACUGCAGCUCUGUCACUAAGUAUUGUACAAACCAUUAAAUGUAUUUAUUUUUCUGACCUGUCUUCCCAGUGUGAUGUUUGUGCAAUGUAUGUAUGGUUGGAUGGGGGUCAAAUUUUCACUGCAGGUAACAUGCAUGUGUAACAUUGCACGUCACAUACUCCUCAGGAGGUUGUCCAGGCUAUAAAAUUGUUCCCUAAUGGCAAAACAGCGGGACUGUUUCAUUUCUAUAAAACAUUUUGCGACAUUCUUGCACCAUUUGUGCUCAGGAUGCUGGGCAACUCAAAAAAUGAAGGAAAAUUGCCUAAAACUUCGCGCGAAACCAAUAUUGCUCUCAUUUUGAAAAAAGGGAAGAGUUGGGACUGACCCUGCUAAUCAUAGGCCAAUAGCACUUCAAAAUUUUGAUCGUAAGAUAAUUACAAAAAUCCUAACUACUAGAUUAAAUAAACAUUUAGUAUCUAUUAUUCAUCCUGACUAGACGGAGUUCAUCCCUGGCUGACUUUCCUUUUUCAACGUUAGGAGAUUACUCAGUAUAAUCUGUUCUGACUAUAAAAAUUGUAAGGGAGCCUCAAGUGACCCUACAGUGGCUUGCAAAAGUAUUCGGCCCCCUUGAAC